ACAGAGGGGGCAAGCGUUAUUCGGAAUUAUUGGGCGUAAAGGGCGCGUAGGCGGUUUUUUAAGUCAGAUGUGUAAUCCCCGAGCUCAACUUGGGAACUGCAUCUGAGACUGGAAGGCUAGAGUACUGGAGAGGGUGGUGGAAUUCCUCGUGUAGCGGUGAAAUGCGUAGAGAUGAGGAGGAACACCAGUGGCGAAGGCGGCCACCUGGACAGUAACUGACGCUGAGGCGCGAAAGUGUGGGUAGCAAACAGGAUUAGAUACCCUGGUAGUCCACACUGUAAACGAUGAACACUUGGUGUGGAGGGAGUUGACCCCUUCCGUGCCGGAGCUAACGCGUUAAGUGUUCCGCCUGGGGAGUACGGUCGCAAGGCUG
rnacentral:rRNA from 1 species